rnacentral:lncRNA from 1 species
GAAGCAAUGCGAUUGUAUGUAAUGUUUGCGGUGCUUCAUUUGUCAAUAUCAAUGUCCAUGGAGAGAGGCUACAAAACAGAUGUUCACACCCACGGGACAGAUUAUGAUGAAUACGACACUACAGAGAGUGGAGAUAUACCGAAAAAAACUACAACGACGCAAAGGGCAAAGAAACGUCGGAAAAAUAAAACAAAAACCGAAGAUUAUACUGAUAUCGAAAAGUUCCUUAACACGACAGAAAAAAUAUGGGUAUACCAAAGCACUGAAAGAACGAAUAAUACAUGCAAGGUGGAUGUUAUUCAUUACACAUAUGUCCUCGGUGCCUGCAUGACCAGGUACCACAUAUCAAACGGAUCUAUUAGGUCUCAAAAGUCUGUUGAAGCUAAGUUCUCAUAUCAUUUUACUGCUGAGGAUACCAGCCGACCUUACAAUGAAAUGACAAUUACAG